rnacentral:rRNA from 1 species
AUUGAACGCUGGCGGCAUGCCUUACACAUGCAAGUCGAACGGCAGCACGGGGGCAACCCUGGUGGCGAGUGGCGAACGGGUGAGUAAUACAUCGGAACGUGCCCCGUAGCGGGGGAUAACCAGUCGAAAGAUUGGCUAAUACCGCAUACGCUCCACGGAGGAAAGCAGGGGACCCGCAAGGGCCUUGCACUAUGGGAGCGGCCGAUGCCCGAUUAGCUAGUUGGUGAGGUAAAGGCUCACCAAGGCUACGAUCGGUAGCUGGUCUGAGAGGACGACCAGCCACACUGGGACUGAGACACGGCCCAGACUCCUACGGGAGGCAGCAGUGGGGAAUUUUGGACAAUGGGCGCAAGCCUGAUCCAGCCAUGCCGCGUGCGGGAAGAAGGCCUUCGGGUUGUAAACCGCUUUUGGCAGGAACGAAACGGCGCGAGCUAAUACCCCGCGCUAAUGACGGUACCUGCAGAAUAAGCACCGGCUAACUACGUGCCAGCCGCCGCGGUAA